CAAUCCCACAUCAUGCUGCCUCUGAGAAACCAGCAAGGAGACAAAAUGAGACUGUAGCCUUGGAGCUUAAGGGCUGAUAACUUAAUUGAGUUAAGAGUUUAUGGACUGAUCUAAUUGCAGAUGAAUUGAAGGGGACCAGUUAGGAACCAGCUGGGACCCCUAGAGAGAUUGCACCAAGAGCAGAGGACAAAGCUUUUCCAUUAACUUUAGGGAACUUUGGAUCAGGCCCUACACUACUUAGCCAGUAAUGCUGUGAUCCUUUAACAAUACAUUAGAUUGGAAUGAUUUUAGUACUCUGUAUACUCAUAUUUUAGUCUUUACAGCUUAUAUAAUGCCAUAGAUACCUAGAACACCUUGUAGAAAAGGUAAAGAAUUCCCUCCCCAGAAGAACUUAUCUUAAUUUAUAAGAACAACAGGAAGAGACAACACACAGAGGAGUUGGGGGAGAGGUAGGAUAAGGAAGAGGACAACAUGAUAAUGCAGUCACUUGAAAGAUGCAGGCAAAGAAGUUAGGUCAAGGAUCAUCAUCAGUGUUGCAUGAAAGUGAAGGACUUGCUUAUUUUACAAUGAGCCGCAUGCCAUGUUGGGCGGAGAUCCCACCAGCUCCUCACAGACCACCAUGGAUAGCUUAGAGGAACCUGAAACACAGACGCAUGCCAUGAACAGUGAGAAGAAGGAGGAGCAGAAGUGCUGGGGGGAGUGGGCUCCAGCAAUGCCAUAAGCCAGGCCCUGAGGCUCCACUGAAGUCUAGCCAGUCCUGGUAGCCACAUACAGACGAGCCCAAUGAAGGGGAAGGACCUUGGCCUCUUGCCAUUGUGGCCUUGAGGGGUCCUCCUCCAAACCUGCAGAAUGCAUGACCCUGAUGAGAAGUAGAAAGAAAAGGACUAGGAGGACAUGUUCAGUGAGAGAUUCUGCCAGGAGGUGCUGCACUGGAUUGUAAGCAAAGGGCCUACAUGGCAGAUGGCCUGGAGAAAGGACCAGGAAUUCCAGCAGGAAAAGAGGGAGAUGUAUCAGGAAAUAAUGGGUAUUCUCAAGAAGCAAACCCAAAUGCUGCAGACCUUAGUUGACCUACAGGUCCAAAAAUCCCAAAUUCCUCAUCCUUUGCAGUCCUUGGAGAACUCCAUGGCUGCAGCUCCCUACAUCCAACAUACCACAUGACAUCCCAGGCUGCAUCCUUACCCCUAUCACUUUACAUCAGAGGACAGCAAGGAAAACCACCGUUUCACAUACACUGAUGUGUGAGAACCAUUAUUGGUGUAUGUGCAACCACAAUAGACUACAUUUGUGCACUGAAGCUGACAAAAAUGUUUGCUGCCUUUUCAAUUUCAAAAUCCCAUUCUGUUAGUUUGUUUAAAAUUUGCAUUGUGUUGCUUGUUAAUGCAGAAAAACAAUGUGCAAAAACCAUUUUUGCCAGUCAAUAAAGUUCACAACACAUACUGCAGAAUGCAUAGCAGUACUUAAA